rnacentral:rRNA from 1 species
GUACACGCUGUGACUAGCAUAUCAAUAAGCGGAGGAAAAGAAACUAACAAGGAUUCCCCUAGUAACGGCGAGUGAAGCGGGAAGAGCUCAAAUUUGAAAUCUUAAAGGGUUUCCCUUUACGAAUUGUAGUUUAAAGAAGUGUUUUCUGUUGAGGUUUUGGUAAAAGUUCUUUCGGAAUAGGACAUCAUAGAGGGUGAGAAUCCCGUAUUUGACCUUUACUUUCAACUUUGUGAUACACUUUCAAAGAGUCGGAUUGUUUGGGAAUGCAGUCCAAAAUGGGUGGUAAAUUUCAUCUAAAGCUAAAUAUUGGCGAGAGACCGAUAGCGAACAAGUACCGUGAGGGAAAGAUGAGAAGAACUUUGAAAAGAGAGUUAAACAGUACGUGAAAUUGUCAAAAGGGAAGCGUUUGACACCAGUGUUGUUUUUCUGAAAAUCAAUUAAAGAACUGUUUAUGCUAAGCUGUUUAGACUUUAUCAGCUAUCUGUUUAGUUUUGAGCUUUUCUUUAAUGCACUUUUCAGUUAACAAGUCGACAUCAAUUUCUUUUGCUGUAAAAAAGCUUGAGGAAGGUGGCUUGAGAUUCGUCUUAAGUGUUUAUAGCCUCUUGCCUAUGCAGUCGGAGAGAUUGAGGUCUGCAGCGUAGAUCCUUCGGGGCUAAACGCAUUUGUGCUAAGUUAUAGCAUUUUAUAGACAACUUGUUGACUAUGAUUUGUCUUGUAGCUUACUCGCUUAUGUUAUUUUACCUACGCUUAGGAUGUUGAAGUCAUCGUAUCGCGC